rnacentral:rRNA from 1 species
GCUCCAGACUCCUACGGGAGGCAGCAGUGAGGAAUAUUGGUCAAUGGGCGCGAGCCUGAACCAGCCAAGUCGCGUGAGGGAUGACGGUCCUACGGAUUGUAAACCUCUUUUGCCGGGGAGCAAGCGUGCGUUCGUGAACGCGCGUCGAGAGUACCCGGAGAAAAAGCAUCGGCUAACUCCGUGCCAGCAGCCGCGGUAAUACGGAGGAUGCGAGCGUUAUCCGGAUUUAUUGGGUUUAAAGGGUGCGCAGGCGGAUUUUUAAGUCAGCGGUCAAAUCGUGGGGCUCAACCCCAUCCAGCCGUUGAAACUGGCUGUCUUGAGAUGUCGAGAGGUAUGCGGAAUGCGCAGUGUAGCGGUGAAAUGCUUAGAUAUUGCGCAGAACUCCGAUUGCGAAGGCAGCAUACCGGCGGCGAUCUGACGCUGAGGCACGAAAGCGUGGGUAUCGAACAGGAUUAGAUACCCUAGUAGA